AGUUUUCCCCCAUUUUGGAUGUCUCUGUUGUUUAUUGCUCUGCUCUCACACACAACUUGUCUGAAAAGUCUGGGUGUUUUCAAUCAGGCCUUAUCAGAGAUCAUGGUUAUUGGAACUCUCUGCAUUUUAUGGCUUCCAUCUCAUUAAUGCCAACACUAAUUUGUGGUCCAAUCCAACACCACCCCCAUAAGAUCUGCAUGAAUACACAGUGGAUUUCAAUCUGCCAUUCAACAAGCAUGAAGUCCUUUAUGUUCAUUAUUAGCCAAUCAAAGAGCCCAGUUCCUUUUCUCUGCAGUUUUUCCAUAGUGAAAUCAUUUUGUUAUUAUCCCAAAGCAGUUGCAUGGUAGGAUAUACUAGAAAAAACAAUGACAACAAUAACAGCUCUUCCUUUUCCCCAGCAAAUGCAACUGUUUUAACCUGGAAACUCCAGUUCAAAGUGAGUCGCCAGUUUGUUUGUGAAAAUCCUCCUUCCCUAAAAUAGCUCUUACCCUGAGAUAUCUUGCAGUAUAUUACAAAAUGGGCCUAUUUUUUACCCUCAAAGAAGUGGGAGGACUGUUGAGAUGAAAACUAACUCAUGCUCUGGCAGAGAAUCAAACCAGGUUGCCAAACCCAAGUGGACUGAUGGAUCCAAUGCCACACGGCCAGGGUGACCUCAUUCCAAUGUCCAUCAUUUUCCUUUCCUGAAAACUAGGUCCUGGAGUCAUUAUCAUGGAAUUCUCCUUUGUUCAGUCUACAUGGUUAAAUGAUUUCCCUUUCACAUCAUUUCAACCCCAUGCUUCAUUACCAAAAGUAUUCCAGUCUGCUCUAAUGUUCUGCGUCUCCCAUUCCAACAAACGCCUUGUCCUUCAAGUUCCUCAUGUAAUUUUCUGUUCUGCAACAAAUUUCAAUUGAAAAAUGGGUUCAAGUAGGCUUGGUUAUUCAUAUUUCGAGGUAAAUUAAACUAGGGUGAAAGUUAGUAAAUAAAGGGAAACAACAAAUGGCAGAGUGUCUAACAAAAAGACCAAACGAAUUUCAAAAGGGGUCACUUUUUUCCCACCUUUUUAACUAUCAAAGACAGAAAAUCUCAAAAGUGAGUAUUUUCUCACAUACUAAACACCUGAGAACUACUUUUUUCCUUCACCCACUGAGACCUGGUUUCGCAGGUUGUGGUCCCCUGGACGCAGACUCUGAGAUGAUGAUUUAAGUGCAGAGGUGUAUUUGGGAGUGCCCUUGGUUCAACAGCUGUGGAACAAACGCGGGAGGAGUCAGACUGGAAACUGGGCCAUGGUGGAGGUGCAGCAAGGUCUCAGCUAACCCCACAGGGAAGUCUAGAGCAGGAAUGGCCGUUCAGAGUUGUCCCCAGUCAGGAGAAGGGGGUGGAACUUUUAUAUCUCAGCAUCAUGGGAUGCAGGUGAACCUC
rnacentral:lncRNA from 1 species